rnacentral:rRNA from 1 species
GACAGAGGGUGCAAACGUUGCUCGGAAUCACUGGGCGUAAAGGGCGUGUAGGCGGGACGGUAAGUCGGGCGUGAAAUCCCUAGGCUCAACCUAGGAACUGCACUCGAAACUACCAUUCGUUGAGUGUCGGAGAGGAAAGCGGAAUUCCUGGUGUAGAGGUGAAAUUCGUAGAUAUCAGGAGGAACACCAGUGGCGAAGCGGCUUUCUGGACGAUAACUGACGCUGAGACGCGAAAGCGUGGG